AAAGUCAGGCUAAUUCCUCACACACUCGUUGCUGUUCUCCAUCUGCUGACGGUUUUAUUUCUGUCUGAUGGAAAACAGAAAGGCAGGCAGCAGAUGGACACAGCAACCUUUCAGCUCAUCAGAAAAGCGGGUCAGAGUUUAAAAACACGUGUUUCAUACUGAAUUUGACACUUUGAUUUAUGGACACGUGACAGUGACACACUCAGCAGGUUUGUAUGGAUCUCAGUGUCACUGAUGUUCCUUCACUCUGUGGGGAGCACACAUUGAUGUAUUAGAAUAAACCUUCCUCCACGUUGCUGUUGGAGCCAAAGGUGAACAUAUUUAACUGACAUAAAUGCUUAUCAAUUAAAAACUGCAUUCUGUAUUUGCUCGUGACACCGGGGGCAGAGACAGACCCAUCUGCAUCCACAGACUGCACACGAGCAUCACACAGACUCCGGCUAAUUAGUGCUCAGUAACAUCCAAUUAAAAUUCAAGAAUGUCACUCACCAAAACUGGAGCUCAGACUUGUUGGAUGUUUGUUGGUAGCCUACAAUUAACUGCAACACAUCUCAUCUUAUUUUAGUCUCAGUGGUGGAUGUGACGCCCUGCAGGAGCUGCAAGUCACGGCAUUAAUCUUCCUUUAUUCAUCCUCAGAUAUUUACUGCUUCAGAUCUCCAUCAUGGUUUCCAAUAAAAUAUUUAAUAUUGUAUGAAUUUCUAACAGUGUCCUUGCUGAGUUGAACCUGAAACUCUGAUCUUCUUCUUGCUGUCACUUCCAGGUUCUGCAGUUUUGCCGUGUAGGCGGUGCUGUCACGUGUCAGGUAACAAUCAGGCUGCAGUUUGAUUUAUAUUCAUAUGAUAAAUCUGUAGCAUGAAAACGCCUCAGAGCAAACAGCAACAAUGGUGAUUGGUUGGUCUGCAUGAAUCAGGAUGUCAUCAUCGUGGACCGCUGUGUGGCAGGCAGGAAGUGAAGAUCCAGAACAAGGAAACUUUCAGCUUCUUCUGAUUGGUUUAAAUGAGCCUCACAGUGGCGCUGAUGGAGACGUCAUCUGGUACUGAGAUAGUCCAGCUCGUGGACCACCGUCGUGACCCUGCCGCCUCCAGAGGGCGGCGAGGCUUGAACGACAGUGGCCCGGAAUGGCCGUCAAACCUGAGCUGCCAUUCUUUGAAACACAAUAUAAACUUCCUGUGUUGAGGCAGCGCGGCGGGGCCUCGACACCCACGGCAAACUGGAGCGACAUGCUCACAUUACUGUUUCAGUAGACCUUUAAAUCCUUCAGCAGCGGCAGAGGACAGAACCGAGUGCAGAGAAAAGGCCGAGGAGGGAAGAUGGAUGUGACGGAUGAAAGGAAGUGCCUCUCCCUGCUGGGGCCCCUUCUGCUCUGAAACUGGCUCCUAUCACACGAUCUUUCCCACCACAGAAUCCUGCAUCCAGAGCUCAUUCAAAGACAAACUGCGU